rnacentral:sRNA from 1 species
GCUGGGCACAGUGAUGAGUGUCUAUAGUCUCAGCUACUUAGGAGCCUGAGGCAAGAGGAUCUCUUGAGUCCAGGAAUCCAAGGUCAACUAGGGCAACAUAGCAAGACAUGUCUUUA